rnacentral:rRNA from 1 species
UACGGAGGGUGCGAGCGUUGUCCGGAAUCACUGGGCGUAAAGGGCGCGUAGGCGGCAGGCCAAGCGUGCGGUGAAAGUCCGGGGCUCAACCCCGGAUCUGCCGUGCGGACUGGUUUGCUAGAGCACUGUAGAGGCGAGUGGAAUUCCGGGUGUAGCGAUGGAAUGCGUAGAGAUCCGGAAGAACACCGGUGGCGAAGGCGGCUCGCUGGGCAGUGGCUGACGCUGAGGCGCGACAGCGUGGGGAGCAAACAGG